UACGUAGGGGGCUAGCGUUGUCCGGAAUCAUUGGGCGUAAAGAGCGUGUAGGCGGCCCGGUAAGUCCGCUGUGAAAGUCCAGGGCUCAACCCUGGAAUGCCGGUGGAUACUGUCGGGCUCGAGUCCGGAAGAGGCGAGUGGAAUUCCUGGUGUAGCGGUGAAAUGCGCAGAUAUCAGGAGGAACACCAAUGGCGAAGGCAGCUCGCUGGGACGGUACUGACGCUGAGACGCGAAAGCGUGGGGAGCAAACAGG
rnacentral:rRNA from 1 species